UCUCCGUUGGUGAACCAGCGGAGGGAUCAUUACCAGAGUUUUACAACUCCCAACCCUUCUGUGAACCUACCUAUCGUUGCUUCGGCGGACUCGCCCCAGCGUCCGGACGGCCCCGCGCCGGCCCGCGACCUGGACCCAGGCGGCCGCCGGAGACCACACAAUCCAGUAUCCAUCAGUCUCUCUGAGUCCGCCGCAAGGCAAAACAAACGAAUCAAAACUUUCAACAAUGGAUCUCUUGGUUCUG
rnacentral:misc_RNA from 1 species